UUAUUGCAUGUAUGUUUGUGUGG
rnacentral:piRNA from 1 species